CUUUCAUUUCACAGAUGAAAGAGGGCCGGGAAAGUUAAGUGAAGGCUCCUUGCCAACAAAGGAAGUUGAGCCAAAACCAAGUCCUAAAGCUACACAGAACAAGAUAGGCAUCUUCACCAGGAGACGAAAGAGCCCUGAUAGCCCAGAGCAGGGUGCAGAGCCCAACAAGAACAGCGUUCACACGCGGGGGCAGGCCAGUGAGGUGCGUCAAAGCCCCAGCAGGAGGCAGAGGAUAUCCCUGCCGGAAAGUGCCAGAUGGGACGCUGGGGCAAGGGUUGAUCUCGAACUCCUGGGCUCAAACGAUCCUCCUGCCUUGGCCUCCCAAAGUGCUGGGAUUACAGGCCCAAGCCACCACGACCAGAGUCAAGUUAUUUUGUCUCUACUCAAGGCUGUUUUCUAUCUGCACAACCAACUGACCACUGCACCUCUGUAUUCCUGUUGCCUGACCACCCUGUGGAUUACCGCCCUGAGCAGACACCUGCUUCUACCUCCAUUGCCCAGGGUCUGUUGAGUUGGAAGCGUCAUAUUUGAAACCAUGGGCGAGUGUGAGAAAUGACUGUCAAGACUCAUUUGAAGACCCCACUUGAAGAGACACACGGACCCAGAGGAAGUAAAAUGCCUCUUACUGUACAUGUUGUCUCAUCAAAGCCAAACAAAUCUGCAUGCAUAUUAGUGCAAGUGCAGAGGAGAGAAAUCCUACAACAUUUCAAGCAAGGGGUUGAAAAUUUAAAUUGUUUGUAUCGUACUCAUAUUACUCUUUUAAGAUUUGUAAAAUGUUAUGAAUAAUCCUUCUCAGAGCCACGUAUGGUCAGGCAGGUUGUGCUCUGCAGUGGGGCGCCUGUCCAAUUGGGGCUGUAACCACCCAGAGAAAGAGAUGCCUUUUAAAUUCCAAACAGAGAAGUUGUAUGGCCUAACAGCCACCUUGAAUGUAUUAUCUUUAUUGCUUUAACUUUGUGAACAACAAAACAAAUUCUAUGACUUUUAUUUGUUCACUUCUAAUUGCACUCCCUCAACUCCAUAAAGUCAUGUUUUUCAUCUACAAAUUUUCUUACUCUACAAGGUGUCAGGAACUUCAUCCUUGCAAUUUUGGAAGACUAAAAAAUUAAUUCAAUAUGAUACUUGCAGCGUAAGUAUACAAAGUAUGAGGGGACUAUAAAAGAAGGGACGGGGUAUUGGAUUAAAUUUCUAAAUGGCAAUUACUUUUAAAUUUGCCUGAAACAUUUUGUAUAAGGCAGAAAUGUAGAACUGGUGAAGUUGGAUUCGCAUAUCAUUAUUUGCAUAAAGUUCAAUUCACUAUUCAAUAUUGCCAUAGUGAAGAGAUAUAAUUCUGUAUUCAUUAUAAAAUUUUUAACUAACAUAUUUUUCCAUCUAGUUCCAUAGAGAAAAUUAAUGUGUGCUGCAUAAGUCUCAGGAGGAAAAAAUAUAUAUAUUCUGAACUGCUGACUUUAUCCUACUAAAGCAAGUUCAUGCUGGACUUAUAUUAGAGAGGUUUGUGGUAAGAACUAGUGUUGGUAUGAAAUCCCUAUUCCUUUUUCAAGUGGGAUUUUGCAUAAAAAGAAAAUGAGACCAUGUGCAGUGGCUCACACCUGUAAUCCCAGCACUUUGGGAGGCCAAGGCGGGCAGAUCACAAGGUCAGGAGUUCAAGACAAGCCUGGCCAGUGUGAUGAAACCCCGUCUCUACUAAAAAUACAAAAAUUUAGCCGGGCAUGGUGGUGCACACUUGUAGUCCCAGCUACUUGGGAGGCUGAGGCAGGAGAAUUGCUUGAACCCAGCAGGCCGAGGUUGCAGUUAGCCUAGAUCGCACCACUGCACUUCAGCCCGGGCGACAGAGCGAGACUCCAUCUCAAAAAAAAGAAAAAAGAAAAUGAGAGAAUGCAUUCUCACUGACUGUGCUGUUUAAAAAGACAAGUAAGCAAAUUACUAAUUUACUAAUUAUGUAAUUAUUGAAGAGCUUAAACUUUGGAUGCUAAAUCAGUUUUAAAGCCAAAAUACAGUGUUGAAAAAUUAUAAAUCAUUAAUUGGCUCUGUAUUGAGUCUACUCUAUAAUGGGAGUAGUUGAAAUUCCUUUUAACAUUUUAUUAUUUUUUUAAGAGUUGCUUUUAAAAAUAGUUCAAAUAGCUAUAGUAUGUCUUAUAUUUAGAUUUUAAAUGAAUUAUUGCUUUAUUAUUAAAUAUUUCAAACUAUACAGAGAAUAUAGAGAAUGCUAUAAUAAACACAUGAUGCCUACCAUUUAGCCAUAACAAAUAUUUUCAUUUUGCCAUAUUCAAUUCGGUUUUUUUGUUAAAAAAAUGAAAUUGGCCGGAUGCGGUGGCUCAUGCCUGUAAUCACAGCACUUUGGGAGGCCGAGGCGGGUGGAUCACCCAAGGUCAGGAGUUCGAGACCAGCCUGGCCAACAUGGUGAAACCCUGAAACCCCGUCUCUAUUAAAAAUGCAAAAAAUUAGCUGGGCAUGGUGGCGCGUGCCUGUAGUCCCAGCUACUCCAGAGGCUGAAGCAGGAGAAUCGCUUGGACCCAGGAGGCGGAGGUUGCAGUGAGCCGAGAUUGCACCACUGCACUCCCGCCUGGGAGACAGAGCAAGAUUCUGUCUCAAAAAUAAAUAAAUAAAUAAAUAAAUAAAUAAAUAAAUAAAUAAAUAAAUAAAUAAAAUUUAAAUUUAUCAAUGGGGCUAUUGUCCUCUGUGUGGCCUUCUCCAAUCCCAUUCUGUCCCUCCUGUCCAGUGGGACCCAGUACUCUGAAGUGGGGGUCUUUCCAUCCCAGGCAUAUUUUUACACUUUUACCCCCUAUGUAUAUAACCACAGACAAUACGAUUUUAUAACUUGGGGUUUUUUCACUUAACAUUAUAUUCCUGAUAUUUUUUCAUAUCAAUAUACAUACUUCUAAUUCAUUUAUGGCGGUUACUAUAGGUUUAUCCGCAGUUGCUUUGUCCAUUCUACUACUGAGGGAAGUUUUAGUUGUCUGUGAUUUUUCACCAUUACAAAAAAGACUGUGAUCAUGCCUAUUUCUGGAGCACAGGCAUGAGAGUUUUUCCAAAGAGACCUAUCAGUUCCAUUUGCUUUUCCAUAAAAUCUGCUUAAGUAUAAUAGCUACAUAGGACUAGUUCGCAACCAGAAGCUGCUGAGAGAUUCUCGUCUUCGUAAAGGAAAAGGUAAUGGUGGGGGUCUCUCUGCGUGAUUAGGCCUUACUAAACGCAACAGCUCUUCCAGAAGCCCACCUCACUCAGGAACAGCAAGUACCUUCUAUCCCUAUCCUCCUCCACAAAGAGUAAGUAGCACCAGGGCACACAAGCUCCCAUCCCGGUGGUACCUCUGCAGGUGCUUAUAAAAUCUGGGACAGGCCAAUGGAAACUGUAGAAAUGUGUGCACUGGGAAACGAGGUUUAAAGGUGAAUGUGACAACUUUGGUGGGCUGAUUAAUGAACCCCAAAAGAUGUCCACACCCUAAUCCUUGACACGUGUGAAUAUGUUUCCUCACAUGGCAGAAGGGACUUUGCAGGUACAAUCAAGUUAAGGACUUAGAGAUGAGGCGAUUAUCCUGCAUUAUGGGGGAGGGGGCAGUCCAACGUAAUCAUCAGGUUCUUUACAAGAGGAAAGCAGGGAGUCAGGUCAGGGACAGACUGGAAGAUGCUGUGCUGCUGCCUCCACAGAUGGAGCAAGGCACCACAAGCCAAGGAAUGCAGAUGCCUCUAGAAGCUGGAAAGAGCAGAGAAAGGGUCUGGGUACAGUGGCUCUCACCUGUAAUCCCAGCACUUUGAGAAGCUGAGGCAGGAUGAUCGCUUGAGCCCAGGAGUUCACGACAAGCCUGGACAACACAGCGAGACCCUGUCUCAAAAAAACAAACCAACAAACAUAAAAACAGGCAAAGGGUGUCCAGGAGGAACAGUGUCUUUCCAGCUCCUUGAUGUGAGCCCAGUGAGACCCAUUUUUGACUUCUGAUCUCUAGAACGGUGAGAUAAUAAACGUGCACUGUUUUGAGCCACUGGUGUGUGGCGAUUUUUUCACAGCAGUAGUAGUAGACACUACAACAGUGAAGGUGGGUGAGGAUCCACCUCGUGGAUCAUCACAGACGAGGAGGCAGCAUUCCUCACCGAUCCUGCGCACAGAGCUGGCUAACACAAAGCUAGAGGCCGAGGAAACAAAGACAGGCCUGAGGAGGACUGCCCUUCUGAACUGAAGCUGUCAGCAUGGCAAGUACCCACGUGUGCCCCUCUCUGGGAUUCAGCAACCCAUUCCGGCUUGGAAGAAAUUCUCUCUGGCAUCAUGUGGCUCCACAGACAACUCCUAACUUAAUUUGGUCACACUUGCUUCCUUAUCUUGGAAUCUGAGGCACUGUUCUCUGUCUCCCUGUUCUGCCUCUGAGGAUGGCUCCCUAACCUCUACCCUGCUGGGAUCCUGCACUCCAGCCCGAGUGGGCCCCUCCAGACCUUGCUGUGGGCUGGCCGGUCUGCCUGGUUGGACCUCUGCCCACACCGUCUCACUCAAAUUGGACCUCUGAUGUUGACCCUGGCCUGUUCCUUGAACAAGUCUAUGCUUUAUGAUAAAUUUGGAUCUUGCUACCCCAUUCCCUGAUCUUGUUUUGUUUGUCUGCCAGCUUGGCCUGACCUGUCAGACCUAGACCUUGACCUGGCUGUCUUUUUUUAACUGUGGGACUUGUUUUACAAAGCAGCCUUCCUAGCUGUUUAUUUUGCCUGCUUAGUUAAGCAUUUGCACAUUAAAAUCUUUCUCUUUUGCAACCUGAAUAGAAGAGGAGCCACGAUGAAUCAACAGCCUAUUGCAACGCCAGGAACCAUGCUGGCAGCUCCACACACAUAUCCCAUUGGUUUCUAAAAUCCCCAGGUGUGUGACAGUUCAGAAUACCAGUGUCCUUGGCCACCUCUUCUGGAAAACAUACCUUCUUUCUUUCAAAGAAGUGCCCCCUAUCACAUAAUGGUCACCCUAUUAUGACCAUGCUGAUAUAGUGGAAGUGGCCAUCAUAGUUCACUGCUCUCCUGGCCACAAUAAUGGUAUGUAAGCUGAGCUGACGAGAACACCCCACCCGCCCCUCCACCCUAGUGACUGGCCCAAGAUUGGGCACAUGACCUCAAGUCAGGAGCUAAUCAUAGAUCUUCUCCAGAAUGUUCUGUUGUUUUUUGAGAUGGAGUCUCGGUCCGUCACCCAGGCUGGAGGAGCACAGUGGUGCGAUCUCAGCUCACUGCAACCUCUGCCUCCAGGAUCAAGCAAUUCUCCCACCUCAGCCUCCUGAGUAGCUAAGACUACAGGCACGCACCACCAUGCCCAGCUAAUUUUUUGUUUUUGUUUUUGUUUUUGUAUUUUUAGUAGAAGCUGGUCUCUAACUCCUGACCUCAAAAGAUCCACCUGCUUUGGCCUCCCAAACUGCUGGGAUUAUAGGCAUCAGCCACCGCACCCAGCCCAGAAUGUUUUUAAUAGGAAUUGGAAGAGGAGCCCUUUCCCGGGAAGGAGGUAGGGGGCAGGCUGACAGGCGGGAGCCAGGUCUCUGUCUCAUGGGGAAAGCUGGUUGAAGAGAAUUAAAUAGACCCAAGGACGCAAGAGUCAUGCAGGAAAAAUAAACUUUGACAGCAUUUAAGUCCCUGGAGAAGCAUAAGGUCAGUGGUUCCAAGUGUGGGCUCAGAGUCAGACUGCCUAGGUAACCUUGGGAAACUGAACCUCUUUGAACCUGAGUUUCCUCUUCUGUAAAAGAUAAUGAUAGUACUUAGCUCAUGGAACUGUUGUGAGGAUUGAAUGAAUUAAUGCAUGAGAAGCAUGCUGAACAGUGCCUGGCACAUGGUUGUCUCACAAUAAAUAUUAAUUAUUAUCAGCUGCUCCAGUUGUCCAGGAGGCUAUCUCUACCCUUGUCCUGACUUUGAUUUGGUGACCGGAGCAAAUGGUUUUCUCUUUUUGCCUAAGCUAGUGUUUGGUCUCAUUACUUGCAACCCAAGUCCGGAGGAAUGUAGGAUUUCCCUAAAUUCAUCAGUUUCAUGAGUGGCUCUAUGAAAAAAAAAAUGUCCAUAAUCAGGUAAGUUUGAGAAACUCUUGGAUAUUCAUUGCAUUUUAAUUUAUAUGUUGUUCCUUCUUUGAGAGUCACAUUGUAUUUUAAUAUCUUAAAGCCUCUGAGCGACCCUAUGGUUAAAAAGCCAGUUGAACUUCUUUUAUUUAACUGUGAUUUCCUUUUUUCUUGUGAUCUUUUUUUCCUAUUCUGCAAAACUAACAUUUCACAGAAUACACUUUGGUGUGUUGAACAGAAAAUCCAGAUAAGAAAACUGAAGAAUUUGCUGAGCCUCAAGUUGAACCCAGAGCUGUUUAAUCUAAAAUGGAUGCUCUUUGACAGUUCUGCACCCAUAUACAUACACACACCACAAUUACCAUUAAUCAUUUGAAAGGGAGGCUAAAUAUUUUUCCAAAUCAGUAGAUAAAACAAACUCCCUGACCUCAACUUACUUCCUGGCGCCUGGAGUCCUGAGUAGCUGAUGAAGAGUGUCUGUCUGCUAUCAAGUGACAGGACACAUUCAGACUGGCUCCUACACUCAAGACCAUGUGGUACCUGAUCCUGUCUCCAUCUUCCGAGCUAAGAUUUUGGACACAACCUGAAGAUCUAAGUCCAGAGGGCAGUGGGCCAGGGUUAGAUACCAUGAAAUGCCAUUGAAUCAGCCUUGAAGGGCAACUGUGGCUUCUUAGUGCAUGAGGCAAUGUGCUGCAGCCAGAGGCCGGUGAAAGCAAUGAUCACAGACCCAGGGCAAAUCACAUCACUAACGUCAUCUCUGAAAUGGAGAGGUGGCUACAUCACUGACUUAAGUAAAUACUAUGCACAGACUUGAGACCUUACACAGCCGACCAAGCAGGGAGCUAAUCCAUCAAAGGGAACCUGAAGCUUCUGACCUACAAGCUUGUUGAGUGGACACCUUCACUAUUAGACAGUGGCAUCUACUGACUGUUACACACCGCCACCUUGCAGAUCAAAUAAGAAUUAGCUAAGCCUGAGGAUUCAAAGAAUUGUUAAACGGGGGAUGGGAGGAUUCCCAUGGAUAGUUUAGUAAGAGCUGGAAUAAAUUAAUAGCAGAAGAGAGAUCAUUGAGGUUGGAAUGUGUUUUAGAGUGUUAUACACACUUAAUACAAAUUAAUUUCAUAACCUCACAAAGUCCUCUGAGUCUUUCCCAGAGAGGUACUGUAGAUUCAUUAGGCAUCGUGUUAGAACUUUUCUGUAAUCAUCAGGCCAUUCUGAUGCAUUCACCUUGAGGUUUUCCCUUUCCAGGCAAUCCCAUCUGCCUUUUAGACUCAUGUGCUUGCACUGAUGUGCACAUGCAUGCUUUUCUCCCCUUUCUCUCCUCUCCUUGCCUCAUCCCCCUGUGAAUAAGCCACAUUUAAUCAAGAAGCAUGAGUUUCCAUUUCUUGUUUUCAUUGAGUCAUCUAAAUAACUUGCUUUCUGGCUAUUUCCUGCAGAAGCCAGGAAUCCACACCGCCAUAUUUUCCCCUUCACGUACAAUUUCAUAUAGCUGUAAACCACCCAGCAGCUCAGGUCCUGCAAGACACACAACCCCAAUUCAUUCCUAACUGCACAGCUGCCCUUCUCCCUACCAAGGCCACUAAGCUAAACCACCUGCUGUGGGCUCCUUCAAGGAACUGUUCAUCCCAGCAGAGGUCCUGACCAUAAACCUUUUGGAGCGGGGAGAGCGUCACUUGCCUCUCUUCAAUCCCUCAGGACCUCUCUGGUGCACUAUGCUCACAAGUGGACCUUGACAAAUGCUUACUGGGUGAAAGAAUGAUGCAGAGGCUUGUUUUAAUUCCAAGACAUCAGUGAAUUGAGAAGAUUUUGCUCACAGCUAUCAUCGUGCUCAAAUACACCAAACUGGAACCAUGGAAAUUAAACACUCAAAGAAAAACUGAGUCUGCCUUCCUGGCUUUUGCUGUCAUCAUUGUUCUUAUACUACAUAUGAAAGGAUUUAUCGUAUAUCUCCAAGAUUAAUGUCCUCUCCCUAUAAAACAAUGUUAUCUGUUUGAUCAGGCUUUUCUUCCUCUGUCUUCCUGGCCUAUCCUUUUGUAUCCUAUCCCCUCCCCACUCAUUGCCUUUCCCGCACCUUCCCAUCACCUCGGCCUUGCCCGGGGUCUCGUCUAUCGUGUUUCUGUAGUUUUCUCUUUCAGAGAGUGGGUCUAAGUUCUUCAAAGGGAAUGUGCAAAGCAGAUCCUGAGCACUGAGAGUCAGGAACUGGAUUGGAAACCAGCAUUGUCUCCCCAGACCUCAGACUGAGGACCUGCUGUAAAGAGUGACAGCAGGAGGCUGAGAAUUAUAGCUUCAGUUGGUUUACAAAAAUUAAUGAGAACUUGUUUUUUUUUUGGCCAAGUUUCUCUUUCAUGAACUAAAACAUUUUCUAUCGAUUUUUAUUUGGUAGAUAAAAAUGCAAGUAUGAAAACAGAAUUUAAAAAAAAAUGUUACAAAGAUUGAAUAUUCAUAAUAUCUAAGUGUAAAUAUUUUUAGACCUUUCAUUAUUGCUUGCAACUAUGGGUGAGCCUAUAGGCGUUUUAGGGUAGAUUUUCAUGUUGUCUAAUGUUGUUUAGUGCUUAGGAAAAAUAGGUUAUCCAAGCAAGUUCUGAUCUGUUUUUCAGUCUCAUCCCUUUUGAUGUCAUUAUUGGAGGCACUGGAUGUCUGUCAUGUGGGAAGAAGGAUGCAAGAGGGAAUAGGCUGAUGUUGAAAGGAAAGAUCACCUAGGGCCCAGAUAAAAAGGUGACACGUGAACUACGUAUUCCACAAACAGGGCCUAGCAUACUUAAUCUCAAACGCUGGAAAGACACACGUGACUCACCCCUUAGCCACAUCGAUGGUACAAGGUAGUGAUGACUCCUGGGAAGGGGCUGUCAUGUUACUAAAUGUCCAGGGACAUUCUGGCAUGUUUGUCAUGCUGGAGUUCUGCCUCCAUGGCCAACUAUGGCCUACUCUGAGAGGGGUGGGUGGUCACAGCUGGUGUAACCAGCUAGGCGGAGAACGGGAACUAGGGAGAGGGAGCUCAGGCAUUCUCUCAGGCUAGAACUUGGCAGGUUCAGGUAUCUUCAACAUCACAGGAACUGAGGAGUGAGGAAGCUCUCACCAGUGAACCAUAAACAGGGAAGAUUUGUCCAAAGGCUACUGUGCUCCCUGGUGCCAUCAGUAAGUCUCUGCCUUUGGUCAUUCCAUAGCUUUGAGGAAAGCCUCUCCUGAAUAACAGAGCCUUGGCUGGGCUGGGCUCUAAGGCAUUAGUGAAAGACCCGUGCUUCUCUGUUUAAAUCAGCUUUAUUCAAAAGGAAAUGAUAGUCCCCACUCCCAUCCCUACUCCACCCAGGGUGGAGGCAGUGGCAGGACUGCACAUGAGAUCCUCCACAGGACCGCGAGCCUUGGGGGACAAACACCAGGCUAUGAGAUCCAGCUGCUCCUCCCCGCAGGACACUGUCUUACUAACAUUAACUUCGAAGGACCUGGUUAUUAUUUUUUAUAACAUUGGGGGUGGGAGAUAAUUACUUACAGACACUACUGUUUCCUAAAUGAAAUCUAAUAAGUAAUAUGUAAAUAAAAGAAAGCAAUUCCCCAGCCCCUGGAGUAAUAUUGCUGUAUGCUGAGUGCUCAUUAAAACUUAAAAUAUCCACGAACUAAUGCAAGUUCUCCCAAAGACUGACCACCCUGGGGAAAAAAGGCAUCUCAACAAACAGUGAUAGUUUGAACAAAAUACAGCACAUGCUCCAAGGUUCCAAGAGGGAAGGGACCACACGAUGGAAAGAUGGUAGCAUGCUUGUGGUUUAACAGCAUUUCCUUUUCCAGAAAACAUCAGCAUUCUGAACGAGAAUUUAAUUCUUGUAUUUGUAAACACCUCAGUGGUAUCUUACAGUAUUACACAAUAAGCUACAUAUUCCAUUUUUAAUCCUAUGACUUUUAUUUUUGAUUUUUUUUGUUUUGUUUUUGUUUUUGUUUUGAGAUAGAGUCUUGCUCUGUCACCCAGCCUGGAGUGCAACGGUGCUAUCUCUACUAACUGCAACCUCCGCCCCCCAGGUUCAAGCGAUUCUCCUGCCUCAGCCUCCUGAGCAGCUGGGACUACAGUGCCACCAUGCCUGGCUAAUUUUUGUAUUAUUAGUAGAGACAGGGUUUCACCAUGUUGGUCAGGCUGAUGUCAAACUCCUGACCUCAGGAGGUUACAGAGACUUGAACUUUAAGACAUGGCAAAUGUUUACAGUGUUGAAUUAAUAAAACAGAUACUUUCUGUACAAUGAUCUUUACUUCUGAUAAGUUGAAAACUGUUUCUAGCCUUUGUAGGUCAGAACAAUGGAUUGGAUAUGUAAUAACUUUUAUCACCUACCAAAAGGAUGGUUAUUCAUUAAGAUAAUCAACAUCUCUGUAACUAACUAAAUCAUUUUCCCCUCAUCCAUUCCUUUUAUUGAAAUGUUUGUGUUUUUAUUUCAAGAUGUAUUCCUAUGCUAUGAUUUUGGGGUCUUACAAUGAAAAUUUCGGGAGCAACUAACAACUGUCUGUGCACUGGAGCACAGAAACAAUUUUCCUCUUCCUUACCUGUGGAAGAAUCAUAGCACAACCGUGAAAUGAUGACACGCUGAAACGUAAGACCACUGGGGAAAUCCCUGUACCUAAUUCGGGCUCCUUCAUACUUGGGGGCCUAUCCCUACCACUGCUCUCUAUCAGCCUGUGUGUAGAUUGAAGAUCUCUUGACUUUGACUCCUAAAAUAAACAACAAAAAGGAUUUUUGGUAUGUUUGUUUGUUUGACCCCUACCACAGUCUACUUGUUCUGCCCAUUUCUGGAAGAAACUCAAACCCAGGUUCUAUCCUCCUACAACCAAUAUUCCUACAAUCCCCUUGUCUUCAUGGAAGCUGAUUC
rnacentral:lncRNA from 10 species